GGCGUUGCCCAGACAACUAGGAUGUUGGCUUAGAAGCAGCCAUCAUUUAAAGAGUGCGUAAUAGCUCACUAGUCGAGUGACACUGCGCCGAAAAUGUACCGGGGCUAAACAUAUUACCGAAGCUGUGGAUUGUCCUUUGGACAAUGGUAGGAGAGCGUUCUAAGGGCGUUGAAGCAUGAUCGUAAGGACAUGUGGAGCGCUUAGAAGUGAGAAUGCCGGUGUGAGUAGCGAAAGACGGGUGAGAAUCCCGUCCACCGAUUGACUAAGGUUUCCAGAGGAAGGCUCGUCCGCUCUGGGUUAGUCGGGUCCUAAGCUGAGGCCGACAGGCGUAGGCGAUGGAUAACAGGUUGAUAUUCCUGUACCACCUAUAAUCGUUUUAAUCGAUGGGGGGACGCAGUAGAAUAGGCGAAGCGUGCGAUUGGAUUGCACGUCUAAGCAGUAAGGCUGAGUAUUAGGCAAAUCCGGUACUCGUUAAGGCUGAGCUGUGAUGGGGAGAAGACAUUGUGUCUUCGAGUCGUUGAUUUCACACUGCCGAGAA
rnacentral:rRNA from 1 species